CAGCCGCCGCGGGAAUACGUAGGUGGCAAGCGUUGUCCGGAAUUAUUGGGCGUAAAGGACUCGCAGGCGGUUUCUUAAGUCUGAUGUGAAAGCCCCCGGCUCAACCGGGGAGGGCCAUUGGAAACUGGGAAACUUGAGUGCAGAAGAGGAGAGUGGAAUUCCACGUGUAGCGGUGAAAUGCGUAGAGAUGUGGAGGAACACCAGUGGCGAAGGCGACUCUCUGGUCUGUAACUGACGCUGAGGAGCGAAAGCGUGGGGAGCGAACAGGAUUAGAUACCCCAGUAGUCCUGUCUCUUAUACA
rnacentral:rRNA from 1 species